GCAUUGUGUUUCUGUGUGUAUGUAAGAAAAGCAGUGUGUGUGUUUGCAUGUGUAUGUAAGGGUUUGCAUUGUGUGUUUCUAUGUAUGUGUGCAAAGGAUGCAUUGUCUUUGUGUGUAAGGGUUGCAUUGUGUGUGUGUGUGUGUGUGUAAUGGAUGCAUUGUGUGUUUCUCUGUGUGUAAGGGAAGCAUGUUGUGUUUCUGUGUGUGUAG